rnacentral:lncRNA from 1 species
UUUUGGAAUAAUAAAGUUAUUAGUACCAUCUUAUAAAGGAAAAUCAAGGUGAUUUACAUUUUCAUAGUAAUUAGUGCAAUACAAGCAGCCAAACUGGUGCAAAAGUACAUCAUCCAAGUAACUUACAUGGCUACUAUGUCAACAAAUUACAUGCCAAUUCAGAGAUUUUUCAAAAGUUAUGAGUAUUGCAGUAGUAUUGCCAAUACAUAUCAAAGAAGCAAUAGUUCAACAAGAACUCACCAAAAAACGCAUUGACAAUGUCUUCAAAAUAUAGCCAUUUGACCCAAGGAUCCUUUAGUUUUCUUCAAGAAUC